UAUAGGGACACAUGUUUGGGACACUUUUGAGUAAGUGUCCCAUUUAUGCUAAAACUUAAAAACACAUCUACUAAUGCCUAAAUAUAAAGCCCAAUCCAACCAAAAAUAAAAGAUUACUUUACUCAACCCACCACACCCAAUCCAUUUGGCCCGAUUACAAACAGAAAAGAAAAAAAAAGAAAAAUCAAUUGCCAUCUUUUCUUCUCUCAUCACUCAAUCCACUGAAAUUCUAGACGAAGAGCCUUUCCUGUCGUCCUCCUUCGCCACCGCAGCCAACGAGAUAGAGUUUCGGCGGUUGCUAAAUGCUUAAAUAAGUGUUGGUAAAUUAGCAGCACUCUUUUAGGUUAUAGCGACACUCUUUAACUGUCACUAUAUACCUAGCGACCCCACAUAUAGCAACACUUUUUAAAAGUGUCGGUAAUUUUAGCUAGCAGCACUUUUUUGAUAUGUACCUACAUUUAAAAGUGUUGCUAUAGAUCGUUUUUGUUGUAGUGUUGAUUGAAACUAACAACAACU
rnacentral:lncRNA from 1 species